GACCAAGGGUUCCUGUCCAACGUUAAUCGGGGCAGGGUGAGUCGACCCCUAAGGCGAGGCCGAAAGGCGUAGUCGAUGGGAAACAGGUUAAUAUUCCUGUACUUGGUGUUACUGCGAAGGGGGGACGGAGAAGGCUAUGUUGGCCGGGCGACGGUUGUCCCGGUUUAAGCGUGUAGGCUGGUUUUCCAGGCAAAUCCGGAAAAUCAAGGCUGAGGCGUGAUGACGAGGCACUACGGUGCUGAAGCAACAAAUGCCCUGCUUCCAGGAAAAGCCUCUAAGCAUCAGGUAACAUCAAAUCGUACCCCAAACCGACACAGGUGGUCAGGUAGAGAAUACCAAGGCGCUUGAGAGAACUCGGGUGAAGGAACUAGGCAAAAUGGUGCCGUAACUUCGGGAGAA
rnacentral:rRNA from 1 species